CUUUGUGUCCUCAGUAUCAGGCUUUUUGGGCUUCCCGUGCAAAUAGGAGUGUUUCUCUAGGGAUGAUAUGCAUUGGCUCAAAGACAAGAUUGCAGGUCCAUAUGCAGCUAGUUGAGUGUUAAGCUCUUCAUUUUCAGUACCCAAAGUUUUCACUUUUUCUUUCAGAAGUUUAAUGUCCUCAUCCUUUGAAGUGAUCUGAACAUCGAAGCUUUGACAUGCUUGUGCAAGCUCAUGAAUCUUCUGCUCGUAAAGGAUUUGGUAGAACAUUGAGACCUGCAACUCACCUAGAAGCACACUCAUCUCUAACUUAUGUGCGUCAAUCUCAUUCAAUUGCUUAUGGAGCUCAGUAUGCAAUGCUUCCUCCUGCAUUUUCAGUUUUUCAAGCUCUCCAUGAGAUCGCUGAAGUCCUUCCCGCAAUAAUUGACUGGCCUGGAAAAGGUGUGCUUUUUCUGUGCUCAAUUGGUUAUUGUCACCACACAACUUUAGGAUCUUUAUUUCUUGGUCCUCUACAACGUUUUUGCUCCCAAUUAGUUCUCUGCUCAAGUUCUUCAAAAUUUGAUGCAACACCGAUUUCUCAGUUUCAGUAAUAUAAAGCUUCUGUUCCAUUCCCUGAAGCUCAAUUUCCUUCUCAAACAACAGAUUUUUCAGUUUUUCAAGCUCUCCACGAGAUUGCUGAAGUCCUUCCCUCAAUAAUUGACUGGCCUCAAAAAGGUGUGCUUUUUCUGUGCUCAAUUGGUUAUUGUUAGCACACAACUUUAGAAUCUUUAUUUCUUGGUCCUCCAGAAUUCUUUUACUCCCAAUUAGUUCUCUGCUCAAGUUCUUCAAAAUUUGAUGCAACACAGAUUUCUCAGUUUCAGUAAGAUAAAGCUUCUCUUCCAUUCCCUGAAGCUCAAUAUCCUUCUCAAACAAAAGAUUUUUGCCGUCAUUUACUUGAAGACUGAGCUGAUCCCUCAUACUUUUAACACUCUUCAACUCAUCUUCUGCCAACUGCAACGCUUUUGCCAGGUUACAGUUUUCAAUUUCUAGCAGUUCCCCUCUGUGAUCUUUCUCCCUGAUUUUUAAUUUCAGUUCUUCACUACCCUCUUUGAGUUUAGUUGCAUCACUCUGCAACGCCAAUAAUUGCGCCGAUUUGAUAUUUGACUCCUGCCCGAUAAUUGUCUUUUCAGCAACAAGAUGCUCCGCCUCUAGUUUUAAUUGCUCCAGUAAUGUGACAAGAACAUUCAUCUGAAUAGCCCUUUGGUGAUUUUCUUCCUCAGUUUUGUAGAAUGAUUCAUUAGCAACUUCAACUCUAUGAAAAAUAUGGUCAAGAUGAACUUGGUCUUUCCUGUCUUCACAUGCAUGGUUUGGAACAAUAUCAAGAGCCUUCAGCAACUUAAAUAUCCCAUUUCUCAGAGUACUAACUUGAUCAAACAAGGAUUUCAUUUCCAUUUUCUGUUCAACAUUCUGCUGCUUUAAAUCAGAAAUCAAAGUUUUAGAUAAUGCAGAUGCUUCAAAAAGCUUCUGAUACUCACACAGCAAAGAAGAACCCUUUCCUUCAAGAUCUAGGGUGGAUGUCUGUAAGGUGAAGUUGAGAAUGUCAGACUCUGUAGCUUUUUCGAGCAGCUUAUCAAACUCUUGCUUAGUUAAUUGACAUUCUUCCUGCAAAAGAUGCAUCUCUGAUUCCAUACCAGCCAACCGUGCAUCACUCAUGUGGACAAAUCUGUCGUGUUCACAAAUUUUUUCAUCUAAAGAAAUCCUCAGCUCCUCCAUUGCAUGAAGCGUCAAUUCCUUCUCUUUCUCCAAAGCUGAAUGCCUCUGUUCCAGUCCUGAAUACCUUCCCUCCAGAUCAUCCAGUGCAACUUGUGCAGCCUGCAACUGAGAAAAUAGACUUUCCUUUUCACAGGCAAGAUCUGCUUUCUCUUUGACUAGUAUUUCACAUGAAUCCUCUAAGCUCUUUGAUUUUACCUUUAAACUCUGAAGCUCAACAUGAGCAUCAGAAAGGGAAUUCUCAAGAACGGUAUUCUUAGCUGAGACUUUUUCCAGAUUCUCAAUGGUUACUUGCAACUCACUCGUUAAAGUGGCUUUGUCAUUGAGAAGUGCAGAUUUCUCCUCGAGAAG
rnacentral:lncRNA from 1 species